rnacentral:misc_RNA from 1 species
AUUUGCACUUUGGACGUAAUAAAUAAUUUCUGCGUGAUUAUGAAACAUUGAUUCUCACAUGAAAAUAUUGAUUUCAAAGUGUUGGGGGUAGAAGAAAUGUUUUAUUUUGUGCUGUUGAACAAUGGUCUCAAUUAAUAAAUUUGAAGCUGGAAAGUUGCUUCGGGUGCAGAGUAAAAUAGUUGGGUCUUUUUUCAUUCCCAUAAGUGGAGCUUAAGUAUGUGGUCUGAUAGUCUCAUUGAUUGUAGUUAAAAUAUCCAAGAGCUUAAGGAACAGUUGGAUCUUGUAAUCCUAACACUCUAUAAUGCAUAAGAUUGGUAUCACUCUGUUUUUGCAUAGAUCUAGCUAUCUAUUAGGAUUCUUGAGUAGUGAAUUCUUCUAGUUUGCAUGUCUCUGUCAAUUAUAAAGAUCCUGGUGAAAUGCUAUUUAUAUCAUGUUGUAAUACCAUUUCAAUACUCUGCAGUUGACCUUAUGACGCCAGGCACGACUGUUAUUCUGCGUAAUGCAAAGAUUGACAUGUUCAAG